UACGAGUGCCUCAAGCGUUAUCCGGAAUCAUUGGGCGUAAAGGUUGUGUAGGCGGUUGUAUUAGUCUUCUGUUAAAUUCUUCGGCUUAACCGGGGGCAUGCAGGGGAAACGGUACAACUAGAGGAUGCGAGGGGUCUGCGGAACUCAUAGUGUAGCGGUGAAAUGCGUUGAUAUUAUGGGGAACACCAAAAGCGAAGGCAGCAGACUGGAGCACUCCUGACACUGAAACAAGAAAGCGUGGGUCGCGAAUGGG
rnacentral:rRNA from 1 species